CUCUGCAGCUCAUAUCACUUUAUAAAGAAGACUUCACAGCCACCAGUUUCCAAUUACUAAGCAACCUUGGAAGGAAAAUCUUUUAAUGGGCCUUUAUGUGAGUCCAUGGCAUGGAAGUUCAUCACACCAUCACUUCUCGUAUGGAGUUUAAUGAAAAGGAAGUGAGCAUUUUCUGAGCUAAGGUUUUUGCUGUAGUGAUCUUUCCCUGGAUGCAUCACUUGAAGUCACUGCUGACAUAAUUCCAAUAGAAAUCUCAUCAAAACCAGCCACCCAAUUCAUCCACAAAUUCAAAUACACUCAUUAUCAAGUGAGGCAAAAGAACAUCAAGGCCCAUCUCUUGCCCCUUCCCGCUCCUUUUUAACUAGAGACCACUCCACCCCGAGAUGUGUUACUGGCAGCCAUAGGAAGCUGGGACAAAAGAAGCUGUCAAGAACAACUCCCGAGAGAAUCAUGGACAUUUUUUCCAGUGAGAAAGAUGCAGAAAGGGCUAUUUUAUUUAAUAUGGGUAACAGAUAGAAAUCCCAUCAUAGUCCAGAAAACUUCCCUGGUUCUCCCACUUCUGAACUCUCAGUGUAAGGAUGUGAUACCUGGAGCUAUGGCCUCCACCUUGAGACCAUGAAGAAAAAACUGAGAAUAUUCGAGAAGAAGGAGGGCAAGAAACUGGAUUCUGUAGAACACUGCUGUGAAGAAAUCCUGAGACCACCUCUCUCUCCUGUUGAGUAAACAGUAGAUAUACUUAAUAUAGUAAGAAACUGUUCGUUGGGUUUUUUGAAUCUUACAUCCAGAAUGAUAAAGGAGCAGAAAAAUGAGGGGCUGGGUCUAAAUGAUUUACACUAUCCUACCCUGCAGUGAGGCAAGGUCUUGGAGGGAGGAACAGAAUUUUAAGUGCAAUAAUCUAGCAACAACUUACUCCACAUCUCACCAGGCAACCCCACACUUCAAAUGAGUUUCGUUCCUGAGACUAACAACUCAGGGACUCAUUCUUUUGUUCCCAUUUGCCUCAAAUCACAGUCUUCCAGCUGCCUCCUGGAUAGUUUCUGUAGGCUUAAAUAUAUGGCUCACAUUAGAACAAACAGAACUUCCUAAAUUGGGCAAUUUGUGACUUUGCACCUCAAGUUUCACUCAUCUCUGAUUUGAAAUGCACUAAAAGCACAUUAUUACUGUUUAAGAUGCAAACUACUGCCCUGAAAAAUAUUGCUUUUUACCUGAGGUGAAACCAGUUAUAAAUGUAUGGUUGGGUGAGGGCAAGGUGCGUUAGUAAAUAGAAAUCCCUUAGAACCAUGUGUAGGCCAUUCUGCUAAUAUGAUAAGGCUAUACUUGCUAGUGGAUUAAUUACUCUUUUCUUCUAACUUAAUUUAUUUCAUACUUUAAGAAACCAAAAUGUCCAGUAGCCACUAUGCUUGUGACAAAAAACAACAAUAAAAGUAAUUUCUCCAGCACAAAAAAUAAAGCGUUCCCGGUAAUGCAUUUCUGAAUCCAGCAUACCUUCCCCUAAUGAGGUUUCAGCAUGCUAUAAAUAACACUAAUGAGACUUUGUCUUGCCCCAUGUAAUAUAUUUCCUUGAUAUAGCCUUAGAUUCUCUGUGUUGCAUGGAAAACUAACAGCCUUGGAAAGAAAUGUUGUCCAAUAGCACAUUAAAACCAAAAGCACAAUUAAAUAUAAAUGAAUUCAGUAAUUUAAUUGCACAAUUGUCGCGUUAAAAAAUUCAGAAGAAAAGUAAUGAUGUCAUUUUUUUCAAUCGGUAAAUAAUAAAAGUGCUUGUGGGGAUGGUACAAUAUUUAAAUAAAAAUUUUUCUGGUAAAGGGUAGGUAGCAAAGACAGACAUGCUUAGGAAAAUCCUGUGACUCGCAAAAACGGAGUAUCUUGGGUGUACAUCAUUCUGCCCAUGUGAUAUAUGGAGACAAAUAUCUCAAUUUCAACAUUUUUGAAAGUGUAUCCUGCACUUUGAAGGUUUUCUGAUUCUGAGCGUUAGCAACCAAAAUUCAUAUUAUUCCAAUUAAAAUAGAACUCCAAGUGCCAAUGUAUCUAAGAGGCUCUCUAACCAGCUCCGGAUGAAAUGAGAACCCUGUAUUACCAGAAAGGAGAUCAUUCUCAUAGACCAAUGAUGGAACACUUUCAUGCUGACCAAGUAUUAGGAAAUCGUUAUGGGUUAUUCUUGAGUUCCCUUUUAUCCAAAGACUGACCCAACACAUCCUCCUUUUGAUUGUCCUCCCUGAUAAGAUCAGAGACAUGAAACUUUGUCUUCAGGAAGAUCUAAAGGAAGGCUUCAGGCUUCACUUUACAUUGAUUUUUAUUCAAUUCCAAUCACAAGCAUACCCAAGAAAUUUACUCAUUUCCAGCACUAUGAUAAGGACCGUGGGAGGGAAGAGGUUUUUUAAUUCUGAGU